rnacentral:rRNA from 1 species
GAUAAACGCUGACAGAAUGCUUAACACAUGCAAGUCUAUGAGGAAGUUUAGCUUGCUAAAUGGACUCAUGGCGGACGGGUGAGUAACGCGUAAAGAACUUGCCCUUUAGACUGGGAUAACAGAGGGAAACUUCUGAUAAUACUGGAUAAGUUAGUAUAUCGCAUGAUAUGCAAAUGAAAGCUACGGCACUAAAGGAGAGCUUUGCGUCCUAUUAGCUAGUUGGUAAGGUAAGAGCUUACCAAGGCGAUGAUAGGUAGCCGGCCUGAGAGGGUGGACGGCCACAAGGGGACUGAGAUACGGCCCUUACUCCUACGGGAGGCAGCAGUGGGGAAUAUUGGACAAUGGAGGGAACUCUGAUCCAGCAAUUCUGUGUGUGUGAAGAAGGUUUUAGGACUGUAAAGCACUUUUAGUAGGGAAGAAAAAAAUGACGGUACCUACAGAAGAAGCAACGGCUAAAUACGUGCCAGCAGCCGCGGUAAUACGUAUGUUGCGAGCGUUAUCCGGAAUUAUUGGGCUUAAAGGGCAUCUAGGCGGUAAGACAAGUUGAAGGUGAAAACCUGUGGCUCAACCAUAGGCUUGCCUACAAAACUGUUGAACUAGAGUACUGGAAAGGUGGGUGGAACUACACGAGUAGAGGUGAAAUUCGUAGAUAUGUGUAGGAAUGCCGAUGAUGAAGAUAACUCACUGGACAGAAACUGACGCUGAAGUGCGAAAGCUAGGGGAGCAAACAGG